GAGAAGUAUCGACAUAAUGAGCUGCUGUUCUUCGACAAGUACUACAGAGGACUGAACAUGUACCACCCCAGGAUGCAGCCAACACCAGUUCCUCAUGCAGCACCUAUGAACCUCCAAGCUUUAUUUGAACCAACAGAAGCACACAUUAAAUGGGACCCACCGCCAUUGCUGCAAUAUCAAGGUCGUGGAGCGUGGAACCAGUGGGACUAUGAGUUGUCCUUGUUUGAUGUGGAGGACAGGGACAACACAGAACAGUCCAUCAA